UACGAAGGGGGCUAGCGUUGUUCGGAUUUACUGGGCGUAAAGCGCACGUAGGCGGAUCGUUAAGUCGGGGGUGAAAUCCUGGAGCUCAACUCCAGAACUGCCUUCGAUACUGGCGAUCUCGAGUCCGGAAGAGGUGAGUGGAACUCCUAGUGUAGAGGUGAAAUUCGUAGAUAUUAGGAAGAACACCAGUGGCGAAGGCGGCUCACUGGCCCGGUACUGACGCUGAGGCGCGAAAGCGUGGGGAGCAAACAGG
rnacentral:rRNA from 1 species